AUUGAACGCUGGCGGCAGGCCUAACACAUGCAAGUCGAACGAGUGGCGGACGGGUGAGUAAUGUCUGGUAAACUGCCUGAAGGAGGGGGAUAACUACUGGAAACGGUAGCUAAUACCGCAUACCAUCAGAGGUGCCCAGAUGGGAUUAGCUUGUGGGUGGGGUAACGGCUCACCAAGUCGACGAUCCCUAGCUGGGCUGAGAGGAUGACCAGCCAAACUGGAACUGGGACACGGUCCAGACUCCGACGGGAGGCAGCAGUGGGGAAUAUUGGACAAUGGGCGCAAGCCUGAUGGAGCCAUGCGGCGUGUAUGAAGAAGGCCUUCGGGGUGUAAAGUACUUUCAGCGGUGAGGCGUUUCCCGCAGAAGAAUCACCGGCUAACUCCGUGCCAGCAGCCGCGGUAAUUC
rnacentral:rRNA from 1 species